rnacentral:lncRNA from 1 species
GUUGGAAUUGAACUUUGUCUUUUAUAUUAUUUUACUUGUCCACGGGCAACCCAGACAAAAAUAAUUACUUGUCCGGUUGUUCAAAUGUACGAGUCGGGCGAGUCGGGCAUAGCAUUUCCACACCCCUGGCAACCCAACAAUAGGUUGUCCGAUUCAUCAAGGCAGAUAGAUCUUGACCUGAUCAACAAUUUUACCCAUGUCAGUUUUGCUCUAAAUGCUUUGGUUUUAAAGAUAUAAAUAUUGGUAGGCUGGGUCAUCGGACACAUUUUAUAAACUGUAAACCACAAUGAUAAUUGUGGCCAAGUUUGGUUAAAUUUGGCAAAGUAGUUUCAGAGAAGAAGAUUUUUAGAAAAGUAACAAAAAAUGACGAAAAGUUGUUAAAAAUUUACUAUAAAGGGCAAUAACUCCUUAAGGGGUCGACUGACCAUUUUGGUCCUUUGACUUAUUUGUAGGUCUUACUUUGCUGAACAUUAUUGCUGUUUACAGUUUAUCUCUAUCUAUAAUAGUAUUCAAGAUAAUAACCAAAAACUGCAAAAUUUCCUUAAAAUAACCAUUUCACAGGCAGCAACCCAACAACAGGUUGUCCGAUUCGUCUAAAAAUUUCAGGGCAGAUAGAUCUUGACCUGAUCAACAAUUUUUACCCGUCAGAUUUGCUCUAAAUGCUUUGGUUUUUGAGUUAUAAGCCAAAAACUGCAUUUUACCCCUAUGUUCUAUUUUUAGCCAUGGCGGCCAUCUUGGUAGGUUUGACGGGUCACGCCACACAUUUUUUAAACUAGAUACCCCAAGGAUGAUUGUGGCCAAGUUUGGUAGAAUUUGGCCAAGUAGUUUCAGAGGAGAAGAUUUUUGUAAAAGUUUAGGGACGACGGACGCCAAGUGAUGAGAAAAGCUCACUUGACCUUUCAGGUCAGGUGAGCUAAAAAUU